GUGAGACCAGGACAAUGGAUUACAUUAAAGAAGGAAAAUGUGAAGACUGAAAAUGCUUCUCUGAUGAGAAAGCAGCCACCUAGAUCCCACGAGCUCAUGUUACCGUAAUAUUUACUAAUAGGACUCUGACAAUGCCUGGCGCAUAACAGUUCCUGGUAGACAGGGUCACUGACAGGUGUCACAAAGUCUGGUUGGUGGCUUACAGGCAUGACACAACAGGAACAUUCGAAGCAGGAGUGGACGAGAAAACGGCAGAUCUGUCCGCUGUGAUGACGGGAUUACCUAACUCGGUGACCAGACACCUUGGUGUCCCUCCCUUUACGCGUCUCCAGCUCGCUGUCUACCAGCCUCUCCCAAGUCUACCAUUGUUUUUACAUGGAGGAUGAACUGGAAGUUGAUUUUUUUUAAUUAGGCCAAGAAAAAUAACAGAGAAUCUUUGGAAGGAGACAGAAACCGAAUUAAACAAGGCUCCAUUCUGAAGAUGUUCUCAGCUCUCAGAUCCCACAAUCACAAAGCGUCCAAAGAGAAAAGACAACUGGUCGAGGAUGGACUUCAUUCUCCCAGUACUUAUAACAAAGAGCUCAGACUCGCCUCUUACUGGUGCUUCGUCGUAUUAGAGCAAGUGACUCUGUAGACGUGCUCUGUUCACCUGCUUUCCCUGCUUGCUUCAGCUCACUCCCCAUCACCUAUGCACAUCCACUUUCCACAGCAGGAUGCAGUCAAGGACCACAUAAAGGAAGAUUUCUACUUGACUUUGCCAGAAGUGGGGCGGUUCUAAAGUUCAACACAAAUGCUGGGCUGGAAGCCGUCCUGAUAACAUAGGUGUUUCUCUCAUAUUCAAGUCUAGCAAUAGAAGAAAGAAUUGCAGCUCAAAGUGUCUCUGAGGGCAGAAAAAAAAUCAAUAUAUGAAAUAAAAUUCAUGAAAAUUUUAUUCCCU